GGGGGUGAAAUUAACAGGCAAGUUGGUGAGCUUUGGUGAAGCAAACAACCUUACAUGAUGUGAGUGGUCCUUGUGCCCAGUUGAAGCCGUGAGUAAAACAAAGUCUGACAUAGCCUUGAGCAAGAAAGAACUCUACCUCCAGACAACUUCGGGGGCAGUUCUGUGGCCCUGCAGACUCCUGACUGAACUAACACAGUUGGGGAGAAUAAGCCGUAAAAAGGGGAGCUUUUCUGUCCUUUCACUUUGCACUGAUGCCCCAUCCAUCCUCCCUUUCUGCUUGCCAUGGUAAAUGGUGUCCGACGUAACACAGAUGCACUGUGCACUGGAGAGGCAGAGCAUCCUGCCUUCCACAGCCGUGCACACCAGUCCCUGUGCACAAGUGGCCACCCACCCAGCGAAUCGACGUGGUGUGCUUAUCAAAAUCUGUGUGUCUGUGGGCCAGAGCCAAAUCCAGCAGAGCCCCAUCCUGAAUGCCCAGCGGUGCCCACAGCCAGGAGGAGCAUUCGAUGUGUGAUGACUCAUCUCGUGCAUCAGACGCUCUCUAAAGUUCCCACAGAUUAUACCAUGGCUUAGUGAGUGCGAUUCUAAGACAGUUCCAAAAGACUUUUCAAUCCGUGGGAGUUUCAAAGUGGAUUCUCAGACAAACAUGGGGAGGACUGAGGCAGGCUUGGACACGCACAGAAUCAGACAACGAUGGUCCGGAGUUCAAAUCCCUGCAACCACAUGGUGGCUCACAACCAACUGUAAUGAGAUCUGGCGCCCUCUUCUGGAGUGUCUGAAGACAGAUACAGUGUACUUACAUAUAGUAAAUAAAUAAAUCUUAAAAAAAAAAAAAA
rnacentral:lncRNA from 1 species